UACGUAGGGUGCAAGCGUUAAUCGGAAUUACUGGGCGUAAAGCGUGCGCAGGCGGUUUUGUAAGUCUGAUGUGAAAUCCCCGGGCUCAACCUGGGAAUUGCAUUGGAGACUGCAAGGCUAGAAUCUGGCAGAGGGGGGUAGAAUUCCACGUGUAGCAGUGAAAUGCGUAGAUAUGUGGAGGAACACCGAUGGCGAAGGCAGCCCCCUGGGUCAAGAUUGACGCUCAUGCACGAAAGCGUGGGGAGCAAACAGGAUUAGAUACCCCAGUA
rnacentral:rRNA from 1 species